AUGGGAGCUUGCUCCCUGAUGUUAGCGGCGGCCGGUUGAGUAACACGUGGGUAACCUGCCUGUAAGACUGGGAUCACUCCAGGAAACCGGGGCUAAUACCGGAUGCUUGUUUGAACCGCAUGGUUCAAACAUAAAAGGUGGCUUCGGCUACCACUUACAGAUGGACCCGCGGCGCAUUAGCUAGUUGGUGAGGUAACGGCUCACCAAGGCAACGAUGCGUAGCCGACCUGAGAGGGUGAUCGGCCACACUGGGACUGAGACACGGCCCAGACUCCUACGGGAGGCAGCAGUAGGGAAUCUUCCGCAAUGGACGAAAGUCUGACGGAGCAACGCCGCGUGAGUGAUGAAGGUUUUCGGAUCGUAAAGCUCUGUUGUUAGGGAAGAACAAGUACCGUUCGAAUAGGGCGGUACCUUGACGGUACCUAACCAGAAAGCCACGGCUAACUACGUGCCAGCAGCCGCGGUAAUACGUAGGUGGCAAGCGUUGUCCGGAAUUAUUGGGCGUAAAGGGCUCGCAGGCGGUUUCUUAAGUCUGAUGUGAAAGCCCCCGGCUCAACCGGGGAGGGU
rnacentral:rRNA from 1 species